CUCAUUUUGUCAUUAAGAUUUGUGUGCACAUGUGUUCUUUUCUUAAAGUUUUUAAUCAGUUGACAGAUUUGCUUUAUGAUGCUGCCUUCUUUUGUAAGUUGAGCCAACCUAUUGAAGUCAUCUCUUCAUAAUAAGGUUAUGUAGUCAUUCAUGCUGAUCCUAUGUGGAACACAACACACAGACAUAUGAUUUAGAAGUUUCUGGGACCUUGUGAAGGUACCAGGUUCUCAACAUGAACAACUCGUUGACUGCCAACUAGAGAAGGUACAGGAAGUUGGUGCAUAUUUCCCAACUGUGUCAGAAAAGUCAGAUCUUUCCAACCAAUGGCAUGAGCUUAAGGAAAGGGACUUGUCUUACAAUGCACUUCUCUUAACAUUGUUUUUUAGUUUUUGCAACUUGAAAAAGCACUCUCAAGAACUCUUGCAAAAGCUAUAGAAAAUCAAAGUGAAGAAUUAUUAUAGAACAACCAAAAACCCAGGCGUAUAUUGUGUAGUUGUUUGAGAAUAUAUUCUUUUGGUCUUACAUUGUAAACUGAUCUUAAAUCUAUAAAGGAAUCAGUGUGGUGGGUGUUGAAAUUCUAAGUUGUCCAGAGUGAUAGCUUAGUGGGUAGUAUAACUUCUACUUAAGCUUAUCAAGCAAUAGAAGUUAUUGCUUGUU